UGGGCGUAAGGGUGCGUAGGCGGUUGUUUAAGUUUGGUGUGAAAUCUCCCGGCUCAACUGGGAGGGUGCGCCGAAUACUGAAUGACUAGAGUGCGGGAGAGGAGAGUGGAAUUCCUGGUGUAGCGGUGAAAUGCGUAGAUAUCAGGAGGAACACCGGUGGUGUAGACGGCUCUCUGGACCGUAACUGACGCUGAGGCACGAAAGCGUGGGUAGCAAACAGGAUUAGAUACCCUGGUAGUCCACGCCCUAAACGAUGCAUAUUUGGUGUGGGCAGUUCAGUCUGUCCGUGCCGGAGCUAACGCGUUAAAUAUGCCGCCUGGGGAGUACAGUCGCAAGGCUGAAACUCAAAGGAAUUGACGGGGGCCCGCACAAGCGGUGGAGCAUGUGGUUCAAUUCGACGCAACGCGAAGAACCUUACCUAGGCUCGAACGGCUGGUCAACGCCGGUGGAAACAUCGGUACCCCGCAAGGGGGUCCAGUCGAGGUGCUGCAUGGCUGUCGUCAGCUCGUGUCGUGAGAUGUUGGGUUAAGUCCCGCAACGAGCGCAACCCUUGUCCUGUGUUGCCAUCAUUUAGUUGGGAACUCGCAGGAGACCGCCAGGGAUAACCUGGAGGAAGGUGGGGAUGACGU
rnacentral:rRNA from 1 species